rnacentral:rRNA from 1 species
AUGCCGCCGCCACGUACCCUCGCCGUCCUCCUCCUCGCUGUCGUCGCCGUCGCGGCCCAUGGCCGCCUCCUCGCCUCCGACGGUCUCCCGGGGCAGGGGAGCGCGUCCGACGCCGCCGUGCUCCGCCUCUCGUCGGCGGGGCGGCCGGCCGGGGAGGCGGAGGAGGGCGGGUGCGAGAUGACCUACGGCUUCCUGCCGUGCACGGAGACGGCCGGGGGCAACCUCUUCCUCGCGCUCGCCUACGGCUUCCUCAUGUUCAAGUCCGCCACCUACCUCUCCGCCGGCAGCGAACUGCUGCUCGAGAUCCUCGGCCCGGGGAUCGUCGGCGGCCUCUUCCUCCCCAUCCUCGGCGCGCUGCCGGACGCCUUGCUAAUCCUCGUUUCCGGUCUCUCUGGCACUAAGGAGGUUGCUCAAAGUCAGGUUUUGAUCGGAAUGGGCCUGCUGGCGGGAUCUACGAUCAUGCUUUUAACCAUACUUUGGGGAUCUUGUGUUAUUGUCGGUAAAUGUGAUCUGUCAGAGGAUUCUACUACAAUCGAUUCCCAAGAUACCAAAGCCUUCAGUCUUUUUGGCUCUGGUGUUUCCACUGAUUUGCAGACCAGCUAUGCAGCAAGAAUCAUGGCGAUAUCUGUUCUCCCCUUUAUCGUUGUUCAGAUACCGCAAAUUCUGAAGCUCCAAUCUGGUCAUCGCUUAACUCUACUGCUUGGGCUUAUAGUUGCAGUGCUACUUCUGCUUACUUAUUGCCUGUACCAGAUCUUUCAGCCAUGGAUCCAGAGGAGGAAAUUAGAAUAUUCAAGACUGAAGCAUGUAAUGUCUGGGCUUCUGAAACAUGCUCAAAUGCAUACUUUUGGUCACCUUGUUGAGGAUGAUGGCACACCAAAUGUUUCUGUCAUAGAGAAGUUAUUUCACAAAAUUGAUCUGGACAAUGAUGGAAAGAUAGGGCGUGGUGAACUACAGGCUUUCAUCGUUGGUGUGAAUUUUGAAGAUAUUGAGUUGGAUACUAACCUAGCUACAGAUCAAGUCAUGGCUGACUUUGAUAGGUCUCGGAAUAGUUCCAUUGAAAAGGGAGAAUUCGUUGAUGGUGUCCUUAGAUGGCUGGAAGAAGCUAAGCGUGUUGUUGCUGGUUCUGGUGCCUACUCAAAAAAGUUUAUGGAUGAUUUUCACAUUACAACAGGGGAAGAACAUAAUGCACUGCUUGACAAGCAUGAAGAUGAUGGUGAAUCUAUUGAAAAUCCAACCUGGACAUGCUUCAAGGCCAUUUCACUUUUGCUUCUCGGAACUGCAAUGGCAGCUGCAUUUGCAGACCCACUUGUUGAUGCUGUGCACAACUUUUCAAGUGCUACCAGUAUACCAUCUUUUUUCAUUUCCUUCAUUGCGAUGCCCUUGGCUACCAAUUCCAGUGAGGCUGUCUCAGCAAUUAUCUUUGCCAGCCGAAAGAAGCAACGCACUUUGUCUCUAACAUUCUCUGAGGUGUACGGUGGAGUGACCAUGAACAACACGCUCUGCCUGGCAGUGUUCUUGGCUCUGGUCUACGUCAGGGGCUUAACCUGGGACUUCUCGUCGGAGGUGCUCGUCAUCUUCCUCGUGUGCAUCAUAAUGGGCCUCUUCACCAGCUUCCGGACCAAGUUCCCGCUGUGGACGUGCUUCGUCGCAUUCCUUCUGUACCCACUGUCGCUGGUCUUGGUUUACAUCCUCGACUACAAGUUUGGCUGGUCGUAG